rnacentral:lncRNA from 1 species
GCUGAGGACACAAUCUACACAUGCAUUGUGACCAACCAGGCCUAGUGCUGCAACCACAGCCAGUGAUGACAUAAAAGUGGCCUUUAGGGGUAAGGGACAGAGACUACAUUCUGUGGAAGGAAGGCAGCACAAAUGUAAGCUGAAACCUUGGGAAAGAGCCGGUUGAAAAGGAUGGCAUAAUGGGGUGCACCGGAGCAGCUUCUUGCUGAAUCAAGGUGGAAUCACCGAGGGCUCCAGCCACGGUGCUGCUCAGGGCCUCCUGAGCCUGGAGGCAUCAAUCUGCUGUGAGACCAGACCUGGCUGCUGCUGCAACCCCCUCCCUGCACUCCUCACAAGCCCUCCUGGGUGCCACCUCCCCGACCUGCCUGGUCCACCCUCCUUCUGAGCCUCCAGGACGUGUGCC